rnacentral:rRNA from 1 species
UACAGAGGUCUCAAGCGUUGUUCGGAAUCACUGGGCGUAAAGGGUGUGUAGGCUGCGUGUUAAGUCAGAUGUGAAAUCCCGGGGCUCAACCUCGGAACUGCAUCCGAUACUGGCAUGCUAGAGAAUUGGAGAGGAGUCUAGAAUUCACGGUGUAGCAGUGAAAUGCGUAGAUAUCGUGAGGAAUACCAAGUGCGAAGGCAGGACUCUGGACAUUUUCUGACGCUGAGACACGAAGGCUAGGGGAGCAAACAGG